rnacentral:rRNA from 1 species
GACAGAGGAGCCAAGCGUUGUCCGGAUUGACUGGGCGUAAGGCGCACGCAGGCGGAUGCGCGCGUGGGGUGUGAAAUCUGGCCGCUUAACGGCCAGGCGCCAUCCCAUACGGCGCGUCUGGAGUGAUGCAGAGGUCGAUGGAAUUGCCGGUGUAGUGGUGAAAUGCGUAGAGAUCGGCAGGAACACCCAGGGGGAAACCAGUCGACUGGGCAUCUACUGACGCUGAGGUGCGAGAGCGUGGGGAGCGAACCGG